UGUAAACAGAGGACUGGAAAUGUUUGUGCACAGGGUGUUGCCCCUUUUGCUGCUGAAACCCUGAGACUGCCAUGUAAAGAAGCUUGAACUAGCCUACUAGAGGAUGAGACGCCACAUGGAGAAUGCCCCCAGCUAUUCCAGCUAAGGUCUCAGAGAUGUGAGUAAAGCCAUCCUGGGCCGUCUUGAGGGACCAUAUAGAGGGAGGCCUCAGCCAUCCACCCAUCCUUGUCAGCUGCCAGACAUGUGAGUGAGACCGUCUGAGAUCCAUCAGCCCCGGACCUAGAAUCGGCCAUUUCUCUGAGGAGUCCUGGGGAUGCACUGAAGCACACAAUCUGGGCUCCCAAACAGAUCCUGAGAUGACAUUGCUGACAGGCCACUCUGCUUAUUGAGAUGUAAUCUGGAGCCUGCAACGCCUUCUGCCGUCCUCAAACCCCUGGUUCUAGUCUUUGUUCUCAAGUCUGCUCACCGUGGUUCUCACUCAAGACGCAACCCUCUCCUGUGUUUGACCAUUUGAAUUCUUCAUGUUGAUUUCUUUGAAAACUGCCAGUUAAAACAAUGAGCGGAGUAGCUGAACAAUCGAAGCUGGUGGGAUGAGGAAGACCGGAUUUCCAGGACGAUGCCUCGCUCGUUGAGAAGAUAUGUUACCCAGCUUUCUCUUGCUCCUGAAGACCUGGAAUUUCCCCUCCUAGAGAAAUAUGAACAGCAUGUUUCAAAAUAUGCACUCUUUACCAUUUAAUGAAAAUGAUUCCAUCAAAAUGUUACAAAUUGAAUUAAAUUACUACCCAUUUUUCUUUUUAAACAUGCUUAAUAAUAAAUAAGUUUAUCCAAAGUGAUGUUAUCAUUAUAGAUUCAUUUUCACCCCAUUUCUUUAUAGCACCUUUGUCACAAUCUUCUCAUUAAUAGGCACUCAUGCUUUUCUACAUCGUUGCUAAAGAAAGAAAAAGAAAAAUAUGAAAAUACUGUCAUCAGCAUCUAACUGAAACUUCUCUGGGGAAAGGAGAAUUCAUUCAAGACUUGGGAAUUACAGAAAUAGCCCACAGAGGAUAAUUCACAUCUGCUCCAAGAGUCAUUACUUCCAGAGCCUGGAGCCCCGAACUCAUCUUCAGGGAUCUUAACUGCUUCUCAGGAGACCCUUGCAAGUCAGGGAUCAACUGAAGCCACCCAUGGAGGAAUGAGUCUUCCUAAAAGUGGGAGUAAAGUCUUCCCCAGUGUGGUAUAGUUCCCAGGGUGCCUAAGUCCUACCUUAGCACCUCACCCAACACACACUGUGGUCUGACGCAAAUGGCCAGGACUGGACUGUUGCAGCUGAACCAGGCCAGGUUCCCAGUGGGGGCUGCUCGCUCUGUGUGUGAAGCCAUCACCCUGUGCAUAGCUCUCUACCAAGCCCAGGACAGUCUUUCUUCUAACCCGAUGUGAAGGAAACCUGCCUUGGCCAACACUCAUAAUCUCCAUGAGAAACACAUAGACAGCGCUAAUACUUUUUUCUGACAUAGGAUACUUUCAAUUUAGCUUUAGGAGAAAAGAAACUCUCUCCCGCCCUUCUGUUGCAUCCUCACUUUAUGGGACUAACCAGAACAUAGACAGCUUGCAUCAUCUGCCUUUGGGUGACUUCCCAGAUUUGAAUAUUGGCUCACAAGUCUUGACUAGCAGUGCCCAGCAGAGGGGACCUCCUAGAACAAAGGGUGACUUUGUUCCCAAGGCAAUCUCCACCCUAGACAGCAAACAUUUUGAAAUCCUGAAACUGACAGUUUCCAACUUCAAAAAAGGUUAACCUCUGCCUGCUCCCAGCGCCCUGUUCCAUAUGGAACACAGCCACACAGAUGCUUAGUGCCAGGCAAGGCAGAAUGGAAAAACCCCUAAGGCUGUGUCUGUCACGCACAAACCAUCUGAUAGAAAUGGAAAGUUGAUUCCAAAAAACUGGUGGUUUCAUGUUGGAGAUCACAAGUACCUGAGGUUCUGUGGAAUUUUCAGUUUUCAUCCAGGGUAGGGGAUGGGUGUUAGAGAGACCCAUGUGGAUGGCUUCUACUUUCCAGAAGUGGUCAGCAGUCCCAUGCAUGAAAGUGUUCCCCCUGACCUUCCAUGGCACUUUGUCUGAACUUCCAGGGUCACUGCCUACCUUCUACUUCAUCCUUAUUUUGGAUGAUAGUACAGCAUAGAGGAAAGAACCAGGCUUCAGGUCUCAGAGAUCGAGGAGGAAUCUCCAUUCUUAUAUGGGUUUUUUUUUGAGGAAGAUUAGCCCUGAACUAACAUCUGCUGCCAAUCCUCCUCUUUUUGCUGAGGAAGACUGACCCUGAGCUAGCAUCUGUGCCCAUCUUCCUCUACUUUAUAUGUGGGACACCUACCACAGCAUGGCUUGCCAAGCGGUGCCAUGUCCAUACCUGGGAUCCGAACCGACAAACCCUGGGCCACAGAAGCAGAACGUGUGAACUUAAC
ensembl:lncRNA